rfam:Triticum aestivum genome assembly, contig: Triticum_aestivum_CS42_TGACv1_scaffold_020326_1AS
CGACCCCAGGUCAGGCGGGACUACCCGCUGAGUUUAAGCAUAUAAAUAAGCGGAGGAGAAGAAACUUACAAGGACUCCCCUAGUAACGGCGAGCGAACUGGGAGCAGCCCAGCUUGAGAAUCGGGCGGCUGUGCCGUCCGAAUUGUAGUCUGGAGAGGCGUCCUCAGCAACGGACCGGGCCCAAGUCCCCUGGAAAGGGGCGCCUGGGAGGGUGAGAGCCCCGUCCGGCCCGGACCCUAUCGCCCCACGAGGCGCCAUCAACGAGUCGGGUCGUUUGGGAAUGCAGCCCAAAUCGGGCGGUAGACUCCGUCCAAGGCUAAAUACAGGCGAGAGACCGAUAGCGAACAAGUACCGCGAGGGAAAGAUGAAAAGGACUUUGAAAAGAGAGUCAAAGAGUGCUUGAAAUUGCCGGGAGGGAAGCGGAUGGGGGCCGGUGAUGCGCCCCGGCCGUAUGCGGAACGGCUCUUGCUUGUCCGCCGCUCGGCUCGGGGUGUGGACUGUUGUCGGCCGCGCCGGCGGCCAAAGCCCGGGGGCCCUAGGUGCCCCCGGUGGCUGUCGUCGGCACGGCCGGUACCCGCGCGCCGAAAGGCGUGUCCCUCGGGGCACUGCGCUGCAACGGCCUGCGGGCUCCCCAUCCGACCCAUCUUGAAACACGGACCAAGGAGUCUGACAUGCAUGCGAGUCGACGGGUUCUGAAACCUGGGAUGCACAAGGAAGCUGACGAGCGGGAGGCCCUCACGGGCCGCACCGCUGGCCGACCCUGAUCUUCUGUGAAGGGUUCGAGUUGGAGCACGCCUGUUGUCGGUGUCAAAACCGGCGGAUCUCGGGUAGGGGGUCCCGAACUGUGGGUCUAGGCGGAUGGUAACAGGAGACAAGGGACACGAUGUUUUUUACCCAGGUUCGGGCCCUCUCAAUGGAGGUAAAACCCUACUCCUGCUUGAUUAAUAUUGAUGAUAUGGGUAGUACAAGAGUAGAUCUACCAUGAGAUCAAGGAGGCUAAACCCUAGAAGCUAGCCUAUGGUAUGAUUGUUGUAAUGUAUGUUGUCCUACGGACUAAAGCCCUCCGGUUUAUAUAGAUACCGGAGAGGGCUAGGGUUACACAGAGUCGGUUANNNNNNNNNNNNNNNNNNNNNGACACGAGCCGGAGUCUUCAAUCUUGUAUCUUCGUAGUCUUGGAGUCCGGCGGACAUUGAUAGUCCGGCUGUCCGAACACCCCCUAGUCCAGGACUCCCUCAGUAGCCCCUGAACCAGUCUUCAAUGAUGAUAAGUCCGGCGUGCAUAAUGUUCGGCAUUGCAAGGCGGGUUCCUCCCUUGAAUAAUCCAGAGAAGAUAAUGAACACCAGGAUAGUGUCCGGCUCUGCAAAAUAAAUUCCACGUUCCACCGUAGAGAGAAUAAAAUGUACACUUAGUUCAAUCUGCUGACGUAUUAUGCGGCGCGACAUCACAUCGCCACCAGGCCUUUGUUUGAAUCAUUAUACCACCUGAGCAUUAGCAGAGCAGUUUCCUCGGCACGUCCUAUCGAAGCAGAGAUCGUGUUCUCCUUAUUCCGGGAUUCUCAUCAAUACGUGCGUGGGUAACCCAACCGGGCCAUCAAUGGUGACGCUUGGGAGAUAAACGAGUUUUACCAGGCCGGUGGGAGACACAUAGUUUUGUCCGCCUAUAUAUAAGGGAUAAGGAUUCACCUUCUCACCCACGCCUUCUUCCUCCUUUGCUUAUCAAUCCCCGCGAAUUCAAGCUCCAACGCCCGAACUCGCGCAUCUCACCUCGACCUUCUCCGAAUAUGACUGGAGCGGGAGGCAAAUGGUUAGCCUCCACCGUCAAGGAGGAGGACAUCAACAAACUGCGCAGCGCCGGAUACCUUUCCGGCGAUAUCGCGCAUCGGCUGCCCGACGAGGGGCAGCUCAUCCCUACCCCCGGGCCUCAUGAGAGGGUCGUCUUCCUUCCCCACUUCCUCCGCGGACUGGGCUUUCCGCUCCAUCCAUUUGUCCGGGGGCUCAUGUUUUACUACGGCCUGGAUUUCCACGAUCUGGCGCCGNGGACUGGGCUUUCCGCUCCAUCCAUUUGUCCGGGGGCUCAUGUUUUACUACGGCCUGGAUUUCCACGAUCUGGCGCCGAACUUUAUCCUCAACAUCUCGGCGUUUAUCGUCGUGUGCGAGGCCUUUCUCUGCAUCCAGCCCCACUUCGGCCUGUGGCUCAAGACCCUUAACGUCAAGCCGAAGGUUGUGAAGGGUACGCAAGCGGAAUGCGGAGGCGCUAUGUUGGGCAAAUUGCCCAACGUCCCUUGGCUAGAAGGGACCUUCGUGGACUCCGUUAAGGGGUGGCAAUCGGGGUGGUUCUAUAUCACCGAGCCGCGCAAAUCCACAUGGGCGGCGGCCCCCGAGUUUAGAUCAGGCAUCCCCACGCAGCUCACCUCCUGGAAAGAGAAGGGCUUGCAGUGGGGGAAUCCGGUGGAGGUGACGGGACUCCAAGCAUGUAUCAAGAAGAUGGUGAGCAAUAAGCU